GGCUCCUAUGGCCUAGUGGUUAGUGUGUCUGCCUUGGAUGCAGGAGGUCGUGGGUUCAAUCUCCGGUUGAGUCA